CCGGCACAUAAUUGCCCUACUCGGGAGACUCCAUGCAAACGACUGUCGUUGACGGUCAUCGCGACCCAAGGCAUAUUUCAGACGAGGGUAAGUAAGAGGGGGUCACAGGGGGAAAGGAGGAUCGCGGCUUGCCAUAUUGGUCACAUCCCGGGUUUAGGAACGGUGUUAGGAUAAAUCGGCAAAAUAACGACGUAUUUAUCCGCGCCAGUGAUUGUGAAAGUCUGACGCCGAAGUCAACCGUGCGCAGUAUCACGCCCGACCAUGGCCGGAGAAACGUGUCACUUGACCCUGUUUCUUUACUGAGGCUGCAAUGGCACGAAAUAAGCUCCUUUGAAGGCGACCUCAGGAUAGGUACUUCGAGAAGAAAUCCACCAACCGCUGACGGGCCAAAGAAACCUCCUCAGGGGCAGGAACAGGGUAGCCAUACUCUGCAUAAGGAACCAGAACGAGCGGCACACGGUUUUCCUGAUAAGAGUGCCACCCUUGUUAGGGGAGGGAUGCGCCGGCAAAGCAUUGAACCCUUCUUAUUGCACCAACCCCCUGCAGAACCGCUUGCUGGUGCAAGCAAGCACCAAGCUUACGCGCCGACCAGCCAAAUCCCAUCACUUGCAACUGAACGUACGCAAAACAGGGCACUGUCACACAGACCACUCCAGAGCCGCUAUCGCGCAGCACUUACUCGCGAAAUAUUCGGUGGCCUUGGAAGUGACAGCAUUGAAGAAUGAAUGUCCCGAUCGUUCUGUUGGCGCCAGCGAACCGUGGACAGGUAUGGCCAGGGCAAGAACAUCAAGUCAACAAUUUGACGUCAUGCUACGCGGUCUGCAGUCCCCCCGGACUAGCUAUCGAGGCUGUCACCCGGCGUUAAUGCUUCCCUGCUCUGCCCGCACGCGCGUGCGCUAUCCAUAGCGGCGACUUCGAGCAUCGUAACGCCAACCCGCUGAUUCCGCAACCAAUGUAUCCUUAACUAAACGUACCGUAGUAGUAAAAGGUUGCAGGAGCACCAGCUUGCUUCAUCUUCUCCUCCAGCGCCUUAGCAGUCGCCGCAUCUGAGAAGCCCUGCACGCAUACAUAUCCGCACGCAAGCACACGACCCGUUGAAUAUCCAGGGACUGACAGGAAGGUGGCCCCCGGGAAAAUCACAGGUGGCAUGGCGAGAAUACAUGUUUGGUGUUAUUCUCAAGCUUGAGGCAAGUAGGCGACCUUGGUCUAUCUACCAGCAGCGCUAACUUUGCCGAGUCGCCGAAGGAACGUCCAAUGGACCCAGCGC
rnacentral:lncRNA from 1 species